CGGAUAAUCGGCGCGAGAUACACGCGAGUUAAAAUAACAGAAUAAUGGAAAACGGUGGAAGGAAGGACACGCAAGCCAACGGCAGCGGACGAUAAAAUUUAGGCGUUAAUCAGAAUCUUGUUUCCACUGGCGGGGACGAUCUCUCUAACGGGAGACCAGUCGGCCAUUGUGCCAUUUACACAAUUACACGUUUCCAUUCCCUCCGGACGUUUCCUCGUUUAUAUAUCGGAUGGCCAGGUGGGUGUAUACAUUUCUGCGCGUGUAAUUUCUGCGUGCAUCGUCACGUGCCGGAGUGUGCACGCAUUUGUGUGUAUGGGGGUGUGUGCGGUCGCGUAAGAGAGUAGAGAAGAGCGUAACGCGUUGGAUUGCUUCGUGUCUGACGGCGAAAGAGGAAGAGGUGUAGAAAGAGGACGAAAACCGGGCGAAGGGGGCGGAAGGGGGUGGCUGGAUUCGCGGUGGUGGUGGCGACGGUGGUCGUGGUGGCGGUGGUCGUGGCGGCGGUGGUUGUGGAUCGGUUGGGGGUGCACACUGCCGUUGAACGUGUAAAAGUGCGUGCACCUGUGUGUAGGUUAGUCAGUGUGUGUAUGUGUGUGUGUGUGUAUUUGCACGCGCGUGUAUAUGUGUGUGUGACGGUGCGUACACACGUGUUAUUGAUCGCGUCGAGCGCUCGCUCGUUCCUCGCUUGCUGGCUGCCUACUGGCCCUUGCCAGCGACGUAACAGAAACGCCAACCGCAUUUUCCCGCUAACUCUAUUCUCUCAGAAAACCACUCUGCGCGCGAUUACGCUCGUCGACGCGAAGGCCACGAGGAGCAUGAAAGACGGCUUCGGAAAUUUAGUAUCGACGGAGCGCGAGAUCUCGAUGGAGGUCUUCCGGUUGCAAGCUGUUGCUUCGAGAAUUUAUAAUUCUUUCUAUCUCACUUCCUCUGUAUUCGUGUACGACGAUUAUAGAUUUUUUUUUUGUAGAUACGGAAUGAAAACGUUUUCAAGGCUUUGAAGACCAGAUAAAUUAAAAUACACACUCUAAAGGAUCAAGGACAAAUCAUGUUUAUACGGCGGAAAGAGUACACGUAUGACGAUAGCUCCGAAAUGCAGUAAAUAUUGCAGCGUGUACCCAGCAUUCGUAAAAAAAUGAUUAAAAUUCAGAACGAAGUGAUAUUGCCCACGGCUCGUAACGUGCUUAUGAAAUACACGCUUCGACGAUCUCCAUCGAACCGUCACGUCCACAGUGUCAUCCUGAGGCAUUUUUGCUGCAUUAAUUCAUCGUAAAGGUAGCGAAUAUGUAUAAACGAAAGCACACAUCAGAACUUCGUAACGGAAUCAACAUACAUUCCGCAAUAUUUGAUUGGAAUAUUUAAUUCGAAAGUUGAUCGAUUCAAAUAACGAGAAAAGUAAAUAAAACCGUUUAUGAUCAGUCUUUUCAAAAAUAAAUACCGAUAUUAUAAUACGAUACUAAAUUAGUAAUUAGAUGGAAUACAGUCAUAUAUACGUCGACAUGUUGUAUAUCCUUUUAAUAUUUAAUGUUGCUAGC